rnacentral:rRNA from 1 species
GUUAAUACUGAAUAAAGUUUUAUCAAACAAACUAAAAACUGUAUUUUUAUGACUUUUACAGUUGUUAAAAGAUGAUGCUGCGUAAGAUUAGGUUGUUGGUAGUGUUUAAAGACUACCAAGCCAUCGAUCUUUAGUUGAUCUUAGAGGAUGAUCAACCACACUGGAACUGAGACAAGGUCCAGGCCUAACUUUGGCCAGCAGUGAGGAAUAUUGGACAAUGAACGAAAGUUUGAUCCAGCAAUACUACUUGAAUGAUUGAAGGCCUGUUUUUGGGUUGUAAAGUUCUUUCGGUAA